UUAUCCGGUUAGGAUCAAAUUCAAUAAGUAGUAUACACAGAUCUGAUAAUUUAAACAGGGAAACAACUUUCUCUUAUUAAUAUAGACUUACCAAUCAUGAUUAAGCAAUGAUAAAUAUGAAAAGAUAAUCAAAUAAAUAAAUACUAAUGAAUCACCAAGGAAAAUAACGGCCGCGAUGCAAUAUUGAAUUCUCAGAAGUUCUUUGUAAUAAUAUAUGCACCAAAAACUCCAGACGAUCAUGUAUAUCAGGUAUAGAGCGCACAUGCAAGCGUAAAACUUUGAUUAAUGAAAUAACAUUAAUUAGUCACAAUGUGCCUUUUGUGGGAAAAUUUAAAAAAAUUAAUUGUUUAACAGAAUUUUAAGAGUAAAUCAUGAUUUUACAUUACACAUUUUUAAAUAAUGAUAAAUCGAUGGUAAAUCAAAUAUACAAAAAUAAAAACGAAAUCCACUAUCUAGUUUAAUUCAUCAGUAUUAUUAAAUGGCUCGUUUUGAACCGAUUUUUAAAAACGGUAAACUCAAUAUUUUAUUGCCUAAUCCUCGAGAUUUCGUUAAUAAAUGAUAAUUCAUUAUUAAUGCGUUGUCCCUACUUCUUCAAAAAAAGACAGUUAUGUUCAAGUCAACAUAGAGAGGAAGGAAUCUAAUCCAAAGAAUCAAAUUAAGGAGGUGAUCGCCAUGAAUAAAUAAAAAGGUGGUAACUAUAAAGGUUUUCCUUGAGUACUCAAAAUCUAAUACCUGCAAGCUCGCUAUAACGUUUUAAAUGAACCGUUUUCAAUAAAUUUAUAUUUAGUGAUAUUGACAUUUAUCACUGACAUGUUAGAUUUAAUAUUCUUUUUUUUUAGUGAAAUUGACUUUUAUGACUGAUCUGUGUAAAACACAUUGUAUUUAAAGAGUUUAUUUAAAUAAGAUUUUUAAAUUAUAAUGAAGAUAGUGUUAAGAUCAAUUUUUUUAUUUUUCAAAAUUAUUAUAAAUAAUUUUAAAAUGUUUU